CAGUCGCCACGGUAAUACGAAGGGGGCUAGCGUUGUUCGGAAUUACUGGGCGUAAAGCGCACGUAGGCGGACAUUUAAGUCAGGGGUGAAAUCCCGGGGCUCAACCUCGGAACUGCCUUUGAUACUGGGUGUCUCGAGUCCGGAAGAGGUAAGUGGAACUGCGAGUGUAGAGGUGAAAUUCGUAGAUAUUCGCAAGAACACCAGUGGCGAAGGCGGCUUACUGGUCCGGUACUGACGCUGAGGUGCGAAAGCGUGGGGAGCAAACAAGAUUAGAUACCCCAGUAGUCCCUGUCUCUUAUAA
rnacentral:rRNA from 1 species